rnacentral:rRNA from 1 species
UACAGAGACCUCAAGCGUUAUCCGGAAUCAUUGGGCGUAAAGCGUACCGAUAGGUGGUUGAAAUAGUCUUGGGUAAAAGCCGGAAGCUCAACUUCCGCGUUUGCUUAAGAUACUUUUCGACUAGAGGGGCAAAGAGGUGAUUGGAACGAACGGUGUAGUAGUGAAAUGCGUUGAUAUCGUUCGGAACACCGAAAGCGAAGGGCAGAUCACUGGGUGCCACCUGACACUGCUAGGACGAAAGCGUGGGGGAGCGAAUGGG